GUACACUCCUACGGGAGGCAGCAGUGGGGAAUUUUGGACAAUGGGCGAAAGCCUGAUCCAGCAAUGCCGCGUGAGUGAAGAAGGCCUUCGGGUUGUAAAGCUCUUUUGUCAGGGAAGAAACGGUGAAAGCUAAUAUCUUUUGCUAAUGACGGUACCUGAAGAAUAAGCACCGGCUAACUACGUGCCAGCAGCCGCGGUAAUACGUAGGGUGCAAGCGUUAAUCGGAAUUACUGGGCGUAAAGCGUGCGCAGGCGGUUUUGUAAGUCUGAUGUGAAAUCCCCGGGCUCAACCUAGGAAUUGCAUUGGAGACUGCAAGGCUAGAAUCUGGCAGAGGGGGGUAGAAUUCCACGUGUAGCAGUGAAAUGCGUAGAUAUGUGGAGGAACACCGAUGGCGAAGGCAGCCCCCUGGGUCAAGAUUGACGCUCAUGCACGAAAGCGUGGGGAGCAAACAGGAUUAGAUACCCCGGUAGUCCCA
rnacentral:rRNA from 1 species